AGUAACAGUCACUGACUAGCGAAAACCUUUGAAGUAUAGAAUACGCAAUCAUGAACCAAAAGUUGGGCUUACUUUUCCUAUUCGUUUCACUUAUCUUGCUGUUUGGAUCACCCAUGACACCAAUAGUUGGGGUGGAAGGAGCAUGCGGUACUUUGUCACGAAGGACUCUUUGUCGCAGCGACAAGUAUAGAAUAAUGUGCAAACUCACGUGUACUAAAGAGGAACGAGGAUAGUAACGGAUGCUAUAACAUUACGAAACGUUGUUUUAACGAUGAUUAAUACGUUGUAUAAAUGAUGCAGACACAGCAGCUUAAAUAAAUAAAUAAAGAAAUACUGUUUACGACCA